UACGGAGGGGGCAAGCGUUAUUCGGAAUUAUUGGGCGUAAAGGGCGCGUAGGCGGCUUUGCAAGUGACGGGUGAAAGCCCUCGGCUUAACCGGGGAACUGCCUGUCAGACUGUAAGGCUUGAGACCGGGAGAGGUGAGUGGAAUUCCCAGUGUAGCGGUGAAAUGCGUAGAUAUUGGGAGGAACACCAGUGGCGAAGGCGGCUCACUGGACCGGAACUGACGCUGAGGCGCGAAAGCCAGGGGAGCAAACGGG
rnacentral:rRNA from 1 species